GACGAACGCUGGCGGCGUGCUUAACACAUGCAAGUCGAACGGAAAGGCCCUGCUUUUGUGGGGUGCUCGAGUGGCGAACGGGUGAGUAACACGUGAGUAACCUGCCCUUGACUUUGGGAUAACUUCAGGAAACUGGGGCUAAUACCGGAUAGGAGCUCCUGCCGCAUGGUGGGGGUUGGAAAGUUUCGGCGGUUGGGGAUGGACUCGCGGCUUAUCAGCUUGUUGGUGGGGUAGUGGCUUACCAAGGCUUUGACGGGUAGCCGGCCUGAGAGGGUGACCGGCCACAUUGGGACUGAGAUACGGCCCAGACACCUACGGGAGGCAGCAGUGGGGAAUAUUGCACAAUGGGCGGAAGCCUGAUGCAGCAACGCCGCGUGCGGGAUGACGGCCUUCGGGUUGUAAACCGCUUUCGCCUGUGACGAAGCGUGAGUGACGGUAAUGGGUAAAGAAGCACCGGCUAACUACGU
rnacentral:rRNA from 1 species